rnacentral:rRNA from 1 species
UACGUAGGGGGCGAGCGUUAUCCGGAUUCACUGGGUGUAAAGGGAGCGUAGACGGCCAAGCAAGCCAGGGGUGAAAGCCCGGGGCCCAACCCCGGGACUGCCCUUGGAGCUGCAUGGCUGGAGUGCGGGAGGGGCAGGCGGAAUUCCUGGUGUAGCGGUGAAAUGCGUAGAUAUUAGGAGGAACACCAGUGGCGAAGGCGGCUUACUGGACUGUAACUGACGUUGAGGCUCGAAAGCGUGGGGAGCAAACAGG